GACGAACGCUGGCGGCGUGCCUAAUACAUGCAAGUCGAACGAACCGAUUUUAAAAGCUUGCUUUUUUAAUUGGUGAGUGGCGAACGGGUGAGUAACACGUGGGUAACCUGCCCUUCAAUGGGGGAUAACACUUGGAAACAGGUGCUAAUACCGCAUAACAAUUUUAGCCGCAUGGCUAAUAUUUGAAAGACGCUUUACGGUGUCGAUGGAGGAUGGACCCGCGGUGCAUUAGCUAGUUGGUGAGGUAACGGCUCACCAAGGCCUUGAUGCAUAGCCGACCUGAGAGGGUGAUCGGCCACACUGGGACUGAGACACGGCCCAGACUCCUACGGGAGGCAGCAGUAGGGAAUCUUCGGCAAUGGACGAAAGUCUGACCGAGCAACGCCGCGUGAGUGAAGAAGGUUUUCGGAUUGUAAAACUCUGUUGUUAGAGAAGAACAAGGAUGAGAGUAACUGUUCAUCCCUUGACGGUAUCUAACCAGAAAGCCACGGCUAACUACGUGCCAGCCGCCGCCGUAA
rnacentral:rRNA from 1 species